rnacentral:rRNA from 1 species
UAGGGAAUAUUGCGCAAUGGCCGCAAGGCUGACGCAGCAACGCCGCGUGACUGAUGAAGCUUUAAGGAGUGUAAAAGUCUGUUAGGAGGGACGAAUAAUUCAAACGUUAAUAACUUUUGAACGUGACGGUACCUCCAGAGAAAGCUCCGGCCAACUCCGUGCCAGCAGCCGCGGUAAUACGGGGGGAGCAAGCGUUGUCCGGAAUUACUGGGCGUAAAGAGCGCGUAGGCGGAUCUGUAAGUCAGGAGUGAAAUUUGUCGGCUCAACCGGCAAACUGCUUUUGAUACUGCAGGUCUCGAGUAAGACAGAGGAAAGUGGAAUUCCUGGUGUAGCGGUGAAAUGUGUAGAUAUCAGGAAGAACACCGGUAGCGAAGGCGGCUUUCUGGGUCUUUACUGACGCUGAGGCGCGAAAGCGUGGGUAGCAAACAGG